GUGAACGCUGGCGGUAGGCCUAACACAUGCAAGUCGAACGGCAGCACAGUAAGAGCUUGCUCUUACGGGUGGCGAGUGGCGGACGGGUGAGGAAUACAUCGGAAUCUACUUUUUCGUGGGGGAUAACGUAGGGAAACUUACGCUAAUACCGCAUACGACCUACGGGUGAAAGCAGGGGAUCUUCGGACCCUGCGCGAUUGAAUGAGCCGAUGUCGGAUUAGCUAGUUGGCGGGGUAAAGGCCCACCAAGGCGACGAUCCGUAGCUGGUCUGAGAGGAUGAUCAGCCACACUGGAACUGAGACACGGUCCAGACUCCUACGGGAGGCAGCAGUGGGGAAUAUUGGACAAUGGGCGCAAGCCUGAUCCAGCCAUACCGCGUGGGUGAAGAAGGCCCUCGGGUUGUAAAGCCCUUUUGUUGGGAAAGAAAAGCAGCAGGUUAAUACCCCGCUGUUCUGACGGUACCCAAAGAAUAAGCACCGGCUAACUUCGUG
rnacentral:rRNA from 1 species